GUUCAAAAGCUCUUGUUGAAUAACAAUGAUACACGAUGAAGCUUCGUUAUAAAAAAACUUUUAAAACCUGUUUGGAUUGACUUCUGAAAGGCUAAAAGCUCUUAUUAAGCUUAAAUAAGAGCUUUUGGCUUCUCAGAAGUCAAUCCAAACAAGGUCUUAAAAUUUUUUUAUAAUAAAGUUUGAAACGUUGUUAUUAUCAUCAACGCUUUUGUAC